CAGUCGCCACGGGAAUACGGAGGGUGCAAGCGUUAAUCGGAAUUACUGGGCGUAAAGCGCACGCAGGCGGUUUGUUAAGUCAGAUGUGAAAUCCCCGAGCUUAACUUGGGAACUGCAUUUGAAACUGGCAAGCUAGAGUCUUGUAGAGGGGGGUAGAAUUCCAGGUGUAGCGGUGGAAUGCGUAGAGAUCUGGAGGAAUACCGGUGGCGAAGGCGGCCCCCUGGACAAAGACUGACGCUCAGGUGCGAAAGCGUGGGGAGCAAACAGGAUUAGAUACCCGCGUAGUCCCUGUCUCUUAUAC
rnacentral:rRNA from 1 species